CCUACGGGAGGCAGCAGUGGGGAAUAUUGCACAAUGGGGGAAACCCUGAUGCAGCGACGCCGCGUGAGUGAAGAAGUAUUUCGGUACGUAAAGCUCUAUCAGCAGGGAAGAAAAUGACGGUACCUGACUAAGAAGCCCCGGCUAACUACGUGCCAGCAGCCGCGGUAAUACGUCGGGGGCAAGCGUUAUCCGGAUUUACUGGGUGUAAAGGGAGCGUAGGCGGCAGCGCAAGUCUGGAGUGAAAUCCCAUGGCUUAACCAUGGAACUGCUUUGGAAACUGUGCAGCUAGAGUGCAGGAGAGGUAAGCGGAAUUCCUAGUGUAGCGGUGAAAUGCGUAGAUAUUAGGAGGAACACCAGUGGCGAAGGCGGCUUACUGGACGGUAACUGACGUUGAGGCUCGAAAGCGUGGGGAGCAAACAGGAUUAGAUACCCCGGUAGUC
rnacentral:rRNA from 1 species